GCGACGCCCUCCCCAACAACAGGGCGAUCUAAUUAAAUCCCGUCACGCGCUGCCCAUUUGCUGAGGCACACCUGCACCCUCAGCCCUAAUUAAUGCUGCUGCUCUUCAUACCUGUAUUGCCGUACAUAAGCUAGGCUAGCUCGACUCCUAGCAUGUCCAUGUUUCUUCAGGACACUUUUGUGGAGGAAUUAACCGUGUUUAAACAGUGCUGACAGCUGUUGCCCGUGUUCAGACUCCGUUUUUCGGUUGUUUCUCAGCUGUGAACCACAAAAACGCACUUCAUGGCGGAAGUGUAGUUCUCCUGUCCAUUUCAGUGACCAACUCUGUAAAAGUCCAUUCUUCUCACAGCGUUACUCCACCAAGAAAUGCGUGAAAUCUAAGGUUCAGUUUCAAGAGGCCACAACAGAAAACUAACCAUACUUCAAGAAGUGUGGAAAACAAGGAAUGCAGACAGUCUCAUGGAUUCAAAAGAAGCUUAAGCAGACUGUGCUGCUGGAUGGCCAUAGGUGGAGGCAGAGGUACUGAGUCAGCACCCUCCUCGCCCUCCUCCUCGCCGCAGCUCUGCAUGCCCGAAGAACUCGACUUGGACAACGUGCCGCUCGACAAGCCCUCGUUACGAACCCUCUGCGGCACACAUGGAUGGCACGGUAGAGAUUACAUCACAUGUCUGCUAAAUGGAGAGAGGGCAAACGUAAGUGUGUAGUAUUGUGUAUCCCCCCCACCUCCUCCACAGUCUCGUCCUGAGGCGUAGCGGCACUGUCGUCCAAGUCUUUGUGGGACCCCAUCGUCAUCUCCCCGCUCUUCCGCACGUCGCGGCUCUUCUUGUGCUUGUGGGCCAGCUUCUUCACAUGGCCGUCUGCCUUGCCACUGCUUAGCCGACGCACUGGACUGGUGAGCCACUUCCGCAGCGUGUUACCUUCAAAAUAUAUAGUGCAAUUAUUAAAAGCCACACCGUAGAACAACAGGAAGAGGUUAACCUUUUAUUUAAAUGAUCUACAUAGCAGUGUUGUAUUCCUCGAGAUCGUUCUCAAGACCACUUUUUAAAUGUCUCGGAAUCAACCGCAUUUUUACUCUGUCUCAUCUCGGUCUUAGAUAAAGAGGACUUUAUUUCAAGACCACAACUGCCUUUUGAUGGUUUUAUCAAGGCAUUUCUCAUAAAACACUUUUGGCAAUAAAAGUGGUGAAUGAAGAAGAAUCUUAA